rnacentral:rRNA from 2 species
AAAUUGAAGAGUUUGAUCAUGGCUCAGAUUGAACGCUGGCGGCAGGCCUAACACAUGCAAGUCGAACGGUAACAGGAAGCAGCUUGCUGCUUCGCUGACGAGUGGCGGACGGGUGAGUAAUGUCUGGGAAACUGCCUGAUGGAGGGGGAUAACUACUGGAAACGGUGGCUAAUACCGCAUAACGUCGCAAGACCAAAGAGGGGGACCUUCGGGCCUCUUGCCAUCAGAUGUGCCCAGAUGGGAUUAGCUAGUUGGUGAGGUAACGGCUCACCAAGGCGACGAUCCCUAGCUGGUCUGAGAGGAUGACCAGCCACACUGGAACUGAGACACGGUCCAGACUCCUACGGGAGGCAGCAGUGGGGAAUAUUGCACAAUGGGCGCAAGCCUGAUGCAGCCAUGCCGCGUGUAUGAAGAAGGCCUUCGGGUUGUAAAGUACUUUCAGCGGGGAGGAAGGUGUUGUGGUUAAUAACCGCAGCAAUUGACGUUACCCGCAGAAGAAGCACCGGCUAACUCCGUGCCAGCAGCCGCGGUAAUACGGAGGGUGCAAGCGUUAAUCGGAAUUACUGGGCGUAAAGCGCACGCAGGCGGUCUGUCAAGUCGGAUGUGAAAUCCCCGGGCUCAACCUGGGAACUGCAUUCGAAACUGGC